CUCACUCUCUCUAUUUCUGUAACUGACCAAACCUAAUAACUAAACAGAAAGGAAAACAUGGAAGAGGCUGUAGUUGAUAUCUCUUUCUUGCCCAGAAACAUGCUUCUCUUUUCUUUUUUUUUUUUCUAUCAGCAAAUAAAAUAUUUUAUUAAUUUUUAACAUAUCCAGGAAAAAUUUAACAUUCCAAAUUCUUUGGAUAUAACUCCAAAUUUAUUUCUUAUUACUGCAUUUUUUGAGGCUUGCCCUACAACUUGCCUUCUUUUCUUCUCUCAUGAGAGGUAGGCAUUUUUUUUUUUGGGCUUUUUCUACACUGUAAUCUCUUCACUCCAGUUCUUAGAUCUUUUUGGGUAUAGGAGUUUCUGGUUAAGGUUCUUUUGAGUUGAGUUUUUCGUUCUUCUAACCUCCCAAUUUCUUAAUAAUUCAUCGGUUCAAAAAAAAUAGUGUAUUGUACACAUGAUGACUUGAAACUGUACCCACAUCUUACGUGAAUUACCCAUCUCAUAUAUAUCCCGAUCUGGAUAACUUUCUGCACAAACAGCCAGAGAUCAAAUUAACCCUAGAGGAGCAGAUCAGUAUGUAGCAGGAUCUGAAGCUUAAGGUGGAGAGAGAGAGAAUAAGGAGAUGAAAGCAAAUUAAUUAGGUAUUUUUAGUGGAAACAAAGACUCCUAACACAAAUCUGUGAACAGAAACAAAAAUGACCCAUAUAUCAAGAUUUGAUCUUUAGCCAGCAAACAAUUACCCAAAGGAAAGAACUAAACACAGCCAAGGAAACCCAAAAAGGAAAAAAAAAAAAAAAACCCUGACUUGUAUCUA